rnacentral:rRNA from 1 species
AUUGAACGCUGGCGGCAGGCCUAACACAUGCAAGUCGAGCGGCAGCGGAAAGUAGCUUGCUACUUUGCCGGCGAGCGGCGGACGGGUGAGUAAUGUCUGGGAAACUGCCUGAUGGAGGGGGAUAACUACUGGAAACGGUAGCUAAUACCGCAUAACGUCGCAAGACCAAAGAGGGGGACCUUCGGGCCUCUUGCCAUCAGAUGUACCCAGAUGGGAUUAGCUAGUAGGUGGGGUAAUGGCUCACCUAGGCGACGAUCCCUAGCUGGUCUGAGAGGUUGACCAGCAACACUGGCACUGAGACACGGUCCAGACUCCUACGGGAGUAAGCAGUGGGGAAUAUUGCACAAUGGGCGCAAGCCUGAUGCAGCCAUGCCGCGUGUAUGAAGAAGGCCUUCGGGUUGUAAAGUACUUUCAGCGGGGAGGAAGGCGGUGAGGUUAAUAACCUCAUCGAUUGACGUUACCCGCAGAAGAAGCACCGGCUAACUCCGUGCCAGCCGCCGCGGUAAUAC